AUGUAAGUUUGUAAUAGUUUCCCCGAUAAGAGUAAUGUAUGUGCCUCAGUCUGACGCUGCUGCAAACGAAAUGAAGCGUACUCCAUGGACUGGUCUCAAAGAACCUAUUCUGUGAUGGUUUUGUCCAUUUAGACAGAAACAAUAAGGCCCACCUCCAUUAUUGUAUGUAUUGUCAAUUGUCCCGCCUGAGGAAGUAAAUGCAAAGAUUGAGUUAUAACUUCUGAUAUUUUCUUUAAAUUUAUUGCUUCUGCUAUCCUGACCGGUUAACAGAUUCCAGAGAAAGGUGGGAGGAUGCGUGAGGAGAGGAAAUUUGACAGAGCCUUUUCGACAGCAUAAUGAGAAAGCUGGAUUUUCAGACCUAGAAGUACACAACAAAUAGCAAUGUUAUACAACAAAUGACAAUAUCAAUGUCAACA